UACGUAUGGUGCGAACGUUGUUCGGAAUUACUGGGCGUAAAGGGUUCGUAGGUGGCCAACUAAGUCAUACGUGAAAUCCCUCAGCUUAACUGGGGAACUGCGUCUGAUACUGGUUGGCUUGAGUGCAGGAGAGGAACGCGGAAUUCCAGGUGUAGCGGUGAAAUGCGUAGAUAUCUGGAGGAACACCGGUGGCGAAGGCGGCGUUCUGGACUGCAACUGACACUGAGGAACGAAAGCCAGGGGAGCAAACGGG
rnacentral:rRNA from 1 species